rnacentral:rRNA from 1 species
UCAGGAUGUAAUUAUCGGUGGAUAUGGAAAGCUCGUAUCCCUCUGAAAAUACAAAUUUUCAUGUUGCAGUUGUGGCAGGAUGCGAUGCUGACUAGGGAUGUGAUGAAGCAGCGUGGGUGGAAAGGUGAACCCAAGUGCUCGUUUUGUCGGGAAAAGGAAACUUCUCAGCAUCUAUUUUUCACAUGUCCCGUUGCUAGGGUUACCUGGAGAGUUGUGGGGUGCAUGUUUGGCACUGAGUUAUGCCCUGACAAUUUGUGGUAG